CCUCAGUACUGCCAACCGGCAAGAUAAUGCUGGAAUAAAUAAAAUUGCGCGAUUUAAUUCGCUGACAGACUUAAAUAUUACCUAAUUAGCUUGGCAAUUGACACUUGAUAUACGCCGUAAUAACUAAUAUUUAUCAAACAAAUUGAUAUGCUUACAAAAUAUUAACUUCAAAUUUUGGAACAUCAUCUAAAAUUGUCUAAAAUCAAUCCAAAUUCCAAGAGAUUUAAUCUCUACAUUAAAAUAAGAGGAAGACUUAGAAAAAGCUCUUUGCUGUGGAUCUGUUGUCGAAAACAUAAACGAAAAAAUUGAUGGAAAUGAUCAGGAUAGUACAAAACAACUUUUUUUUGAAAAAGAUGAAAACGAUCAAAUGAUAAAAUCGAGAAUAGAAUCAAUUUCUUUAAAUCGAUCAAAAA